AUUGAACGCUGGCGGCAGGCUUAACACAUGCAAGUCGAGCGAGCGGCGGACGGGUGAGUAAUGCCUGGGAAACUGCCUGAUGGAGGGGGAUAACUACUGGAACCGGUAGCUAAUACCGCAUACCAUCAGAUGUGCCCAGAUGGGAUUAGCUAGUAGUGGGGGUAAAGGCUCACCAAGGCGACGAUCCCUAGCUGGUCUGAGAGGAUGACCAGCAACACUGGAAAUGAGAAACGGUCAAGAAUACGACGGGAGGCAGCAGUGGGGAAUAUUGCAAAAUGGGGGCAAGCCUGAUGCAGCCAUGCCGCGUGAGUGAAGAAGGCCUUCGGGUGGUAAAGCACUGUCAGCGAGGAGGCGUUACUCGCAGAAGAAGCACCGGCUAACUCCGUGCCAGCAGCCGCGGUAAUAC
rnacentral:rRNA from 1 species